UACGAAGGGGGCUAGCGUUGUUCGGAAUUACUGGGCGUAAAGCGCGCGCAGGCGGUUUUUCAAGUCAGUGGUGAAAGCCCGGAGCUCAACUCCGGAAAUGCCAUUGAAAUUGUAAAACUUGAGGACGAGAGAGGUGAGUGGAAUUCCCAGUGUAGAGGUGAAAUUCGUAGAUAUUGGGUGGAACACCGGUGGCGAAAGCGGCUCUCUGGUCCGGACCUGACGCUGAGGCGCGAAAGCG
rnacentral:rRNA from 1 species